CAGCAGCCACGGUAAUACCAGCACCUCGAGUGGUCAGGAGGUUUAUUGGGCCUAAAGCAUCCGUAGCCGGUUGUUUAAGUUUUCGGUUAAAUCUAUGCGCUUAACGUAUAGGCUGCCGAAAAUACUGGACAGCUAGGGAGUGGGAGAGGUACACGGUACUCAAUAGGAAGGGGUAAAAUCCUUUGGUCUGUUGAUGACCACCUGUGGCGAAGGCGGUGAACCAGAACACGUUCGACGGUGAGGGAUGAAAGCUGGGGGAGCAAACCGGAUUAGAUACCCCCGUAGUCCCUGUCUCUUAUAU
rnacentral:rRNA from 1 species